CUUAAACCCCUGGGGGAAGUGUGUGCUUUGGUGUGCCGGGGCUGCAGCCCUGGGUGGGGUGUCGCAGGCUACCCCGAGGCACGAGGACCUGCAGGGGACACACAGCAGAGCCACCGAAAGCUUCGCCAGUGUAACAUGUGUCUUCCAGCCAGCGGGAAGCACUUCAGACCCGGGAUAUUUCUCCAUGAAGUCACCCUGCUGAGCCUGGCUAAUCCUGCAUGCACAUUUCUGGGCUGGAAGGGAAAGACAUCACUGCGUAACGUGUUACCAGGAACCGGGAUGUGGGCAGGAAAAGUCCUGCUGUCCCAGAGCACUUAACCAACAGCUUUAGUGGAUUUAUUCCUGUUUUAUGGGUCGGCCGAUGGAAACCAGCGAGCAGAAGUGACCACAGCUCUCCUCCGAGCCUGUCUCCGUGCCAGCAGCCCUUUCUGCCCGCCACCCUGCCCUCGGUUCUGCCUCUCCCCGUGCUGGUGCUGAUGACUGGAUGACACGGGCCCCGUCUGUGGAGCAAACCGCAGCUGAUGGGAUGUCUGCCUCCCCGCCGGCUGGUGCUCCCCCGGCCCGGGCCAUGAAAGAGAGAGCUGUUCCCCACGCGAUGUA